GUGGUCACUUCAGCAGCACAUAUACUAAAAUUAGAACAAUACAGAGAAGACGAGCAUGGCCCUGAACAAGGAUGUUAUGCAAAUUCGUGACGCAUCCCAUAUUUUA
ensembl:snRNA U6 U6 spliceosomal RNA